rnacentral:rRNA from 1 species
CGGGGUAGGAGUAACGCGUGAGGAACCUGCCUCAAAGAGGGGGACAACAGUUGGAAACGACUGCUAAUACCGCAUAAGCCCACGGCUCGGCAUCGAGCAGAGGGAAAAGGAGUGAUCCGCUUUGAGAUGGCCUCGCGUCCGAUUAGCUAGUUGGUGAGGUAAUGGCCCACCAAGGCGACGAUCGGUAGCCGGACUGAGAGGUUGAACGGCCACAUUGGGACUGAGACACGGCCCAG